GAGUUUGAUCAUGGCUCAGAACGAACGCUGGCGGCAUGCCUAACACAUGCAAGUCGAACGAAGGCUUCGGCCUUAGUGGCGCACGGGUGCGUAACGCGUGGGAAUCUGCCCUUGGGUUCGGAAUAACAGUGAGAAAUUACUGCUAAUACCGGAUGAUGACUUCGGUCCAAAGAUUUAUCGCCCAAGGAUGAGCCCGCGUAAGAUUAGCUAGUUGGUGAGGUAAAGGCUCACCAAGGCGACGAUCUUUAGCUGGUCUGAGAGGAUGAUCAGCCACACUGGGACUGAGACACGGCCCAGACUCCUACGGGAGGCAGCAGUGGGGAAUAUUGGACAAUGGGGGCAACCCUGAUCCAGCCAUGCCGCGUGAGUGAUGAAGGCCUUCGGGUUGUAAAGCUCUUUUGGCGGGGACGAUGAUGACGGUACCCGCAGAAUAAGCCCCGGCUAACUUCGUGCCAGCAGCCGCGGUA
rnacentral:rRNA from 1 species